rnacentral:rRNA from 1 species
CCUACGGGGUGCUGCAGUGGGGAAUAUUGGACAAUGGGCGAAAGCCUGAUCCAGCCAUGCCGCGUGUGUGAAGAAGGCCUUCGGGUUGUAAAGCACUUUCAGUGGGGAAGAAAGCCUUGGGGCUAAUACCCUCGAGGAAGGACAUCACCCACAGAAGAAGCACCGGCUAACUCCGUGCCAGCAGCCGCGGUAAUACGGAGGGUGCGAGUGUUAAUCGGAAUUACUGGGCGUAAAGCGCGCGUAGGCGGUCUGAUAAGCCGGUUGUUAAAGCCCCGGGCUCAACCUGGGAACGGCAUCCGGAACUGUCAGGCUAGGGUGCAGGAGAGGAAGGUAGAAUUCCCGGUGUAGCGGUGAAAUGCGUAGAGAUCGGGAGGAAUACCAGUGGCGAAGGCGGCCUUCUGGACUGACACUGACGCUGAGGUGCGAAAGCGUGGGUAGCAAACAGGAUUAGAUACCCCGGUAGUC